AGAGUUUGAUCCUGGCUCAGAACGAACGCUGGCGGCAGGCUUAACACAUGCAAGUCGAACGCACCUUUCGGGGUGAGUGGCAGACGGGUGAGUAACGCGUGGGAACGUGCCCUUCAGUUCGGAAUAACCCAGGGAAACUUGGGCUAAUACCGGAUACGUGCGAGAGCAGAAAGAUUUAUCGCUGAAGGAUCGGCCCGCGUCUGAUUAGCUAGUUGGUGAGGUAAUGGCUCACCAAGGCGACGAUCAGUAGCUGGUCUGAGAGGAUGAUCAGCCACAUUGGGACUGAGACACGGCCCAAACUCCUACGGGAGGCAGCAGUGGGGAAUAUUGGACAAUGGGCGCAAGCCUGAUCCAGCCAUGCCGCGUGAGUGAUGAAGGCCUUAGGGUUGUAAAGCUCUUUCGUCCGGGACGAUAAUGACGGUACCGGAAGAAGAAGCCCCGGCUAACUUCGUGCCAGCAGCCGCGGUAAUACGAAGGGGGCUAGCGUUGUUCGGAAUCACUGGGCGUAAAGGGCGCGUAGGCGGCUUGAUAAGUCGGGGGUGAAAGCCUGUGGCUCAACCACAGAAUUGCCUUCGAUACUGUCUGGCUUGAGACCGGAAGAGGUAAGUGGAACUGCGAGUGUAGAGGUGAAAUUCGUAGAUAUUCGCAAGAACACCAGUGGCGAAGGCGGCUUACUGGUCCGGUUCUGNNGCUGAGGGCGAAAGCGUGGGGAGCAAACAGGAUUAGAUACCCNNGUAGUCC
rnacentral:rRNA from 1 species